UACAAGAAGUACCCUCAAGGAAGGGGCAUACGGAGGGUUAGCACUUCUAUCCAGUUGCCCAGGAAGGAUGCAGUGUGCUCAAGCAAAGAGUGGGUAGCAAAUUAUGGGCUAAAAAAACUGAAGAUGGAAAUCUCCAGAUACAUGGGUCCCAGCUGCGCUCAUCAAAAGUCAGUCCAGGGCCUGGCGUCAGCCAAAUACUGCCGCAUCUUGCCCAGCAUAGAAAUCAAUGGGAUAGUGAGACAUAUCCAGUGGACGCCCAGGGAAAUGGAAGCAUACAUCACGUGCCUGGAGAAGGUGAUGAGGCGCUAUGUCCAGAGGCUGCAGUGGUU